ensembl:misc_RNA Metazoa_SRP Metazoan signal recognition particle RNA
GCCAGGCACGGUGGCGAGUGCCUGUAGUCCCAGCUACUUAGGAGGCUGAAGCUGGAGGAUCCCUUGAGCCCAGUAGUUCUGGGCUGCAGAGCGCUAUGCCGAUCGGGUGUCUCCUCUAAGUUCAGCAUCAAUAUGGUGACCUCCCAGGAGCUGGGGACCACCAGGUUGCCUAAGGAGUGGUGAGCUGGCCCAGGUAGGAAACGGAGCAGGUCAAAACUCCCAUGCUGAUCAGUAGUGGGAUGGUGCCUGUGAAUAGCCACUGCACUCUAGCCUGGGCAAUAUAGCUAGACACCGUCUCUU